UGUUUUGUGCGAUGUGGGAACGCUUCUGAGGAGAGAAUAAAACCACAAGGCACUUCAGAACUGCACACAGUGCUCCAGGUGGGGUCUCACAAGAGCAGAGUAAAGGGGCAGAAUCACCUUCCUCGACCUACUCAUCAUGCUUCUCCUGAUGCUACCCAGGAUAUGGUUGGCAAACCUAUGAUAGGGAAGAGGCUGAAGUUCCUUUUUCUUCAUCAGCUAUUCACGCUUUCCAGCUUGCUUGCUGUCACUUGACUACAGAAAAGACAUCAAUUCCCUGGCAACACCUCACCAUGUGUUACAU